GACGUAGGGCGCGAGCGUUGUCCGGAUUUAUUGGGCGUAAAGAGCGUGUAGGCGGCCAUGCAGGUCCGUUGUGAAAACUCGAGGCUCAACCUCGAGACGCCGGUGGAAACCGUAUGGCUAGAGUCCGGAAGAGGAGAGUGGAAUUCCUGGUGUAGCGGUGAAAUGCGCAGAUAUCAGGAAGAACACCCGUGGCGAAGGCGGCUCUCUGGGACGUGACUGACGCUGAGACGCGAAAGCGUGGGGAGCAAACAGG
rnacentral:rRNA from 1 species